rnacentral:rRNA from 1 species
UACGUAGGGCGCGAGCGUUAUCCGGAAUUAUUGGGCGUAAAGAGCUCGUAGGCGGUUUGCCACGUCUGCUGUGAAAGCCCGGGGCUCAACCCCGGGUGUGCAGUGGGUACGGGCAGACUAGAGUGCAGUAGGGGAGACUGGAAUUCCUGGUGUAGCGGUGAAAUGCGCAGAUAUCAGGAGGAACACCGAUGGCGAAGGCAGGUCUCUGGGCUGUUACUGACGCUGAGGAGCGAAAGCAUGGGGAGCGAACAGGAUUAGAUACCCGGUAGUCC